UACGGGAUAAUAUAUUUGAGAGGCAUCUCUUGAAUAUCAAAGGUGGGCCAGUACAGGAUGGACCCGCGUCUGAUUAGCUAGUUGGUAAGGUAACGGCUUACCAAGGCGACGAUCAGUAGCCGACCUGGGAGGGUGAUCGGCCACAUUGGAACUGAGACACGGUCCAAACUCCUACGGGAGGCAGCAGUGGGGAAUAUUGCACAAUGGGCGAAAGCCUGAUGCAGCAACGCCGCGGGAGUGAUGAAGGCCUUCGGGUCGUAAAACUCUGUCCUCAAGGAAGAUAAUGACGGUACUUGAGGAGGAAGCCCCGGCUAACUACGUGCCAGCAGCCGCGGUAAUACGUAGGGGGCUAGCGUUAUCCGGAUU
rnacentral:rRNA from 1 species